GAUGAACGCUGGCGGCGUGCCUAAUACAUGCAAGUCGAGCGAACAGACGAGGAGCUUGCUCCUCUGACGUUAGCGGCGGACGGGUGAGUAACACGUGGAUAACCUACCUAUAAGACUGGGAUAACUUCGGGAAACCGGAGCUAAUACCGGAUAACAUGUUGAACCGCAUGGUUUAACAGUGAAAGACGGUCUUGCUGUCACUUAUAGAUGGAUCCGCGCCGCAUUAGCUAGUUGGUAAGGUAACGGCUUACCAAGGCAACGAUGCGUAGCCGACCUGAGAGGGUGAUCGGCCACACUGGAACUGAGGCACGGUCCAGACUCCUACGGGAGGCAGCAGUAGGGAAUCUUUCGCAAUGGGCGAAAGCCUGACGGAGCAACGCCGCGUGAGUGAAGAAGGUCUUCGGAUCGUAAAACUCUGUUAUUAGGGAAGAACAAAUGUGUAAGUAACUAUGCACGUCUUGACGGUACCUAAUCAGAAAGCCACGGCUAACUACGUG
rnacentral:rRNA from 1 species